CACUCAACAGCUAGCCUAAAAACCUAAAUUCAACAAUCAUUAUUAAUAAACCCUAAAAACUAAUUACCAAAUUAAAUAAAUCAUUUUUCCCCCUAAGUAUGGGAGACAGAAAAGGAUACACUUAGCGCCACAUAGAAUAGUACCGCAAGGGAACGCUGAAAAAGAAAUGAAACAACCAAAUAAGUAUAAAAAAGCAGAGAUUAACACUCGUACCUUUUGCAUCAUGAUUUAGCUAGAAAAAAUUAAGCAAAAAGAAUUUAGUUUAAUUCCCCGAAACUGGGUGAGCUACUUCAAGGCAGUCUAAAAAUCAGGACUAACCCGUCUCUGUGGCAAAAGAGUGGGAAGAACUUAGAGUAGAGGUGACAGACCUAUCGAACUCAGUGAUAGCUGGUUGCCUGCGAAAUGAAUAGAAGUUCAGCUUUUUAUGUUUCUCAACCUUCACCACUCAUAAUAAAAGAUGAAAAGAAACUAAUAAAGUUAAUUAAAUGGGGUACAGCCCGUUUAAACAAGACACAACUUCACCAGUAGGGUAAAGAUCAUAACUAUUAAGGUAAUGUAUUUCAGUAGGCCUAGAAGCAGCCAUCUACAGAAAGCGUUAAAGCUCAAACACAAUUACUCCCUUUAAUCAAGACAAUAUCAUCCAAACCCACUAAUUUUAUCAGGCCGCCCCAUACUACUAUGGGGGCGAUAAUGCUAAUAUGAGUAAUAAGAAAACUAGAUUUUCUCCACGCAUUCGUGUAAAUCGGAACGGACACUCCACCGAACAUUAUCGGCUCCAAAAAAAGAGGAAAAUGGGCCAAAACCCAAACAACAAGAAAAACACCCAAAAAACAACCGUUAAUCUUACACAAGCAUGCCUACAAGGAAAGACUAAAAGAAAGAGAAGGAACUCGGCAAACACAAACCCCGCCUGUUUACCAAAAACAUCGCCUCUUGCUAACCAAGAAUAAGAGGUCCUGCCUGCCCUGUGACAAUUGUUUAACGGCCGCGGUACCCUAACCGUGCAAAGGUAGCGCAAUCACUUGUCUUUUAAAUGAAGACCCGUAUGAAUGGCACAACGAGGGUUUAACUGUCUCCUUUUUCCAGUCAAUGAAAUUGAUCCCCCCGUGCAGAAGCGGGGAUACUACCAUAAGACGAGAAGACCCUGUGGAGCUUCAGACACGAAAGCAGACCUUGUUAAAUACUUUAAAACAAAAGAAAAACAUAAAAGGAACCCUGCCCUAAUGUCUUUGGUUGGGGCGACCACGGGGUAAUAAAGAACCCCCAUGUGGAUUGAGAAGGUACUUCUUAAAACUAAGAACUGCCGUUCUAACUAACAGAACUUCUGACCUAUAGAUCCGGCAAUGCCGAUCAACGGACCGAGUUACCCCAGGGAUAACAGCGCAAUCCUCUUUUAGAGUUCAUAUCGACAAGAGGGUUUACGACCUCGAUGUUGGAUCAGGACAUCCUAAUGGUGCAGCAGCUAUUAAGGGUUCGUUUGUUCAACGAUUAACAGUCCU
rnacentral:rRNA from 1 species